rnacentral:rRNA from 1 species
AAGCCGCGAGGUGGAGCAAAACCCAAAAAAAGCAGUCUCAGUUCGGAUUGAAGGCUGAAAUUCGCCUUCAUGAAGCCGGAAUUGCUAGUAAUGGCAGGUCAGCAUACUGCCGUGAAUACGUUCCCGGGCCUUGUACACACCGCCCGUCACACCAUGAGAGUUGGGGAUACCCGAAGCCUGUGAGCUAACUUUUAGAGGCAGCAGUCGAAGGUAGAAUCAAUGAUUGGGGUGAAGUCGUAACAAGGUAGC